rnacentral:rRNA from 1 species
GACGAACCGUGCGAACGUUGUUCGGAAUCACUGGGCUUAAAGGGCGCGUAGGCGGGUCUUCAAGUUUGGGGUGAAAUCCUCCGGCUCAACCGGAGAACUGCCUCGAAUACUGAAGGUCUCGAGGGGGAUAGGGGCAUGCGGAACUACGGGUGGAGCGGUGAAAUGCGUUGAUAUCCGUAGGAACUCCGGUGGCGAAGGCGGCGUGCUGGAUCCCUUCUGAUGCUGAGGCGCGAAAGCCAGGGGAGCAAACGGG